GUCCCAUUCACAGUCAUUUCUGAAAUGCUCUUCUUCUGGGCUUCUGCCUGCUCUGGUCCUGGGAGUCCCUGGCGGUGUUCUCAGGGCCCCUCCACGCCUCCACGCCUUCGCUCCCCGGAGCUGGAGCAAGGGCAGAAAUGUGAUUUUCCGGCCCGCUGAGAGGCCUGAAUGUUCCAUUAGCCCCAGGAACACGGAGAGCCAGAGGGGAUUCAGAGAGUCAGCUCAAUUUCCGGACCCCAGAUGUCUUCACCCGCCGCAGGAAGUGGGGUGCCCUGGGGCUCCGGGGGCCCAGGGUGCCCGUGUGUGCAGGCCCGCCAGGCCUCCUCUGGGCUCAGCAAGGCCUUACAGCCACCCCUGCUCCUCUGCUCACCUGGGCUGGGGCCAGGCCUGCAGGACCCCCUCUCAGCAGCCACACCCCCAGAAAUGCUUCCUGCAAACCCUGCCAGACCUCCCGGCUGGGCCAGCAGACCCGCUGAGGUCACUUCUGAACCUGGGCAGGCUGUGCCUUGGCCAGGGCCCCCAUCCUCCAGGUGUGCAGACCCCACACCUGCCUCUUAACGUGAAGCCCCCCCCCCCCCCAUGCUGCAGCUGCUCCUCUCCGCUCCAUCCCCCAGACCACUCGCUUUCAUCUGGUGGAGACCCCCGCCUCCAGAAGCCACGCCCUGGGAAAUUGUGUGCGCACACACACACACACACACACACACACACACACACCCGCCCUCCAAGGCAUUGAAGGCUGGUGUUCUUUGCCAGCCCUCUCCGUCCCCUUGGCCUUGAUCUGGCAUUGCUGUGGCCCAGGCUGACCUCUUUUCUCUGUCCACGUGUUCCAAACCCGUGUCCCUACUAGCCGUCCUCCUGGUUCUCCCCAGGAGGUGUCCAGACGGGUCCCCCAGGAGGUGUCCAGGCGGGCCUCUCCAGGUGGCCCAGGGCUCUGCCUUGCUCUCUCCUGAGUCCAUGCCUUGCUUCGGACAGAGCCCGAUGCGGCUCCUCCACCAGCGCCCAGUCCUUCUCGAGUCACUUGCUUUCCCCUGUUCUGCCCCCGGCUCUCCGAUGCAGGUUCUCUUGUCACCUCCGCCUGCCUCUGUCCCCGCUGGCCCCCUGGCCAGAUCCGGGUGCCUUUGUGCCAUGCCAGCCUCCUCCAUGUCAGCACAGGGCUGUGCGGGGGGCCGUGCAGACAGGCUCCUGCUUCGCGUCGCACGUAUCAACCAGCCUCUCUUCUGCCCGCCGUCCACACCCUGUGCAUCGUCCCAGCUCUGCCCUCCCCAGGGCCCCACCGCCAGGGCUCCCUGGAGACCC
rnacentral:lncRNA from 9 species